rnacentral:lncRNA from 1 species
CUUUUUCAACCUAUUUUCAGGGACGUCCGGGUAGGAGGGGACAACACGGAUUUAAUGGCACAGACGGCUUAAGAGGACCAUCUGGCCCUGAAGGACGACCAGGAGAACCUGGCCCACCCGGCUUAACAGGACCCCGAGGACCAGUAGGCAAACGUGGAUUAGCCGGUGUUCCUGGAGCUACUGGAGCCACUGGAGAAGUGGGUGAAACUGGACCUAGAGGUCCUCAAGGUAUUCCUGGCGUUAUCGGGCCACAGGGUCCAGUUGCAGAGAAAGGAGAACGUGGUCUAAAAGGAGAGCGAGGAGCAACUGGAUAUCAAGGACUUCCUGGUCUUCUUGGAGAACCUGGACGACAUGGCCGCGACGGAAUACCAGGAGAGGAUGGUGAGCCUGGACCUCAAGGACCUAUUGGAGACCCCGGAUGCAAAGGAGCGAAGGUAAG